rnacentral:lncRNA from 1 species
AGUUGCAUCUCUACUUUCUACAUAGAAUACAUGUAUUUUUUACCUUGUUUCAUAUACAUGUUCUGCACCAAGAAGUACAGAAAAAAUCACAUAAAAAUGCUAAUACUUAUCAAUUUUAUAUCGAAAUUGGUAAUUGGUGGAACAUUACGUGGCAGUAAAUGAAUGGACAGGUGACUUAUCUCGCAUUGAUCCCAAAACAGACCUCCUCAAAACUGAUAAUUUAUUAUUAU